rnacentral:rRNA from 1 species
GUGUCAGCCGCCGCGGUAAUACGGAGGGUGCAAGCGUUAUCCGGAUUUACUGGGUUUAAAGGGUGUGUAGGCGGGCUUUUAAGUCUGGGGUGAAAUCCCCGAGCUCAACUCGGGAACUGCCUUGGAUACUAUUAGCCUUGAAUUAUGUUGAGGUAGGCGGAAUAUAACAUGUAGCGGUGAAAUGCAUAGAUAUGUUAUAGAACACCGAUUGCGAAGGCAGCUUGCUAAACAUAUAUUGACGCUGAGGCACGAAAGCGUGGGGAUCAAACAGGAUUAGAUACCCUGGUAGUCCACGCCCUAAACGAUGAUUACUCGUCAUACGUGAUACACUAUGUGUGACCAAGCGAAAGCGUUAAGUAAUCCACCUGGGAAGUACGUCCGCAAGGAUGAA